GAUGAACGCUGGCGGCGUGCCUAAUACAUGCAAGUCGAGCGAACAGACGAGGAGCUUGCUCCUCUGACGUUAGCGGCGGACGGGUGAGUAACACGUGGAUAACCUACCUAUAAGACUGGGAUAACUUCGGGAAACCGGAGCUAAUACCGGAUAAUAUAUUGAACCGCAUGGUUCAAUAGUGAAAGACGGUUUUGCUGUCACUUAUAGAUGGAUCCGCGCCGCAUUAGCUAGUUGGUAAGGUAACGGCUUACCAAGGCAACGAUGGGUAGCCGACCUGAGAGGGUGAUCGGCCACACUGGAACUGAGACACGGUCCAGACUCCUACGGGAGGCAGCAGUAGGGAAUCUUCCGCAAUGGGCGAAAGCCUGACGGAGCAACGCCGCGUGAGUGAUGAAGGUCUUCGGAUCGUAAAACUCUGUUAUUAGGGAAGAACAAAUGUGUAAGUAACUAUACACGUCUUGACGGUACCUAAUCAGAAAGCCACGGCUAACUACGUG
rnacentral:rRNA from 1 species